UUAAGCCAUGCGAGUCAAAUGUUCUUCGUGAACAUGGCGUACUGCUCAGUAACACGUGGAUAACCUGCCCUUAGGACUGGCAUAACCCGGGAAACUGGGGAUAAUUCCGGAUAGUUCAUGGUAGCUGGAAUGCUCCAUGAUCGAAAGCUAUUGCGCCUAAGGAUGGGUCUGCGGUCUAUCAGGUAGUAGUGGGUGUAAUGUACCUACUAGCCGACGACGGAUACGGGUUGUGGGAGCAAGAGCCCGGAGAUGGAUUCUGAGACAUGAAUCCAGGCCCUACGGGGCGCAGCAGGCGCGAAAACUUUACAAUGCGGGAAACCGCGGUAAGGGGACACCGAGUGCCAGCAUCUUAUGUUGGCUAUCCGCAUGUAUAAAUCACAUGUGUUAGCAAGGGCCGGGCAAGACCGGUGCCAGCCGCCGCGGUACACCGGCGGCCCGAGUGGUGGCCACUAUUAUUGGGUCUAAAGGGUCCGUAGCCGGUUUGGUCAGUCUUCCGGGAAAUCUGACGGCUUAACCGUUAGGCUUUCGGGGGAUACUACCAGGCUUGGGACCGGGAGAGGUAAGAGGUACUACGGGGGUAGGAGUGAAAUCUUGUAAUCCUCGUGGGACCACCAGUGGCGAAGGCGUCUUACCAGAACGGGUCCGACGGUGAGGGACGAAAGCUGGGGGCACGAACCGGAUUAGAUACCCGGGUAGUCCCAGCCGUAAACUAUGCUCGCUAGGUGUCAGGGACGGUGCGACCGUUUCUGGUGCCGCAGGGAAGCCGUGAAGCGAGCCACCUGGGAAGUACGGUCGCAAGGCCGAAACUUAAAGGAAUUGGCGGGGGAGCACUACAACGGGUGGAGCCUGCGGUUUAAUUGGACUCAACGCCGGAAAACUCACCGGGGGCGACAGCAAUAUGUAGUCAAG
rnacentral:rRNA from 1 species